AUCUAUGACCACAUCACCCUGAACGCUCCUGAUCUCAUCUAAUCUCAGAAGCUAAGCAAGGUUGGGACUGGUUAGUCCUUGGAUGAGAAACAGCCUGGGAAUAAAAUGAUACAUUUUAGAAA
ensembl:rRNA 5S_rRNA 5S ribosomal RNA